rnacentral:rRNA from 1 species
UCGAGCGGACUGAUGGGAGCUUGCUCCCUGAAGUCAGCGGCGGACGGGUGAGUAACACGUGGGUAACCUGCCUGUAAGACUGGGAUAACUCCGGGAAACCGGGGCUAAUACCGGAUAGUUCUUUUCCCCGCAUGGGGGAGAGUGGAAAGGCGGCUUCGGCUGCCACUUACAGAUGGACCCGCGGCGCAUUAGCUAGUUGGUGAGGUAACGGCUCACCAAGGCGACGAUGCGUAGCCGACCUGAGAGGGUGAUCGGCCACACUGGGACUGAGACACGGCCCAGACUCCUACGGGAGGCAGCAGUAGGGAAUCUUCCGCAAUGGACGAAAGUCUGACGGAGCAACGCCGCGUGAGUGAUGAAGGUUUUCGGAUCGUAAAGCUCUGUUGUUAGGGAAGAACAAGUGCCGUUCGAAUAGGGCGGCACCUUGACGGUACCUAACCAGAAAGCCACGGCUAACUACGUGCCAGCAGCCGCGGUAAUACGUAGGUGGCAAGCGUUGUCCGGAAUUAUUGGGCGUAAAGCGCGCGCAGGCGGUCUCUUAAGUCUGAUGUGAAAGCCCACGGCUCAACCGUGGAGGGUCAUUGGAAACUGGGGGACUUGAGUGCAGAAGAGGAAAGUGGAAUUCCACGUGUAGCGGUGAAAUGCGUAGAUAUGUGGAGGAACACCAGUGGCGAAGGCGACUUUCUGGUCUGUAACUGACGCUGAGGCGCGAAAGCGUGGGGAGCAAACAGGAUUAGAUAA